UGGGGAAUAUUGGACAAUGGGCGCAAGCCUGACCCAGCCAUGCCGCGUGAGUGAUGAAGGCCCUAGGGUUGUAAAGCUCUUUCGCCAGGGGACGAUAAUGACGGUACCUGGAUAGGAAGCCCCGGCUAACUUCGUGCCAGCAGCCGCGGUAAUACGAAGGGGGCUAGCGUUGUUCGGAAUCACUGGGCGUAAAGCGCACGUAGGCGGAUCUUUAAGUCAGGGGUGAAAUCCCGAGGCUCAACCUCGGAACUGCCUUUGAUACUGGAGGUCUCGAGUCCGGGAGAGGUGAGUGGAACUGCGAGUGUAGAGGUGAAAUUCGUAGAUAUUCGCAAGAACACCAGUGGCGAAGGCGGCUCACUGGCCCGGUACUGACGCUGAGGUGCGAAACGCGUGGGGAGCAAAACAGGAUUAGAUACCCUGGUAGUCCACGCCGUAAACUAUGGAUGCUGCCGUUGGGCAGCUUGCUGUUCAGUGGCGCAGCUAACGCUUUAAGCACCCGCCUGGGGGAGUACGGUCGCAAGAUUAAAACUCAAA
rnacentral:rRNA from 1 species